GGCCGGCUGGUCUAGAGGUAUGAUUCGCGCUUCGGAUAAACUCCAAGCACUCCAAGUGAAAACUUGCGCGAGGUCCCGGGUUCGAUCCCCGGGUCGGCCC